UUUGUAGAUAUUUCAAAAUUCCAAAAAAAUAUACCUAGUUUUAGCUUUCUAAGCUCUAAUUCACUUAAUUGUACAGAAAUUCAAUUUGAAAGUCUACAGCAAAAUUAAAAAUUAUCUAUACGCAAAAGUUAAAACUCAAGUUCCCUACAAGGAAUAAAACUGAUAUAUUUACAAGGAAAUUUACUUCGGGAAAUCGUGUGACCCAAAAUAACGGAUAAUUAUGAGUCAGAAGAUAACUGCCAAAAUCAGGAUGGGAUAUGCAGUUGGCCACGUACUAAACGAUUUGUGCAAUGCGGUAUGGCUCAGUCACACAUUGCUAUUUUUCGAAUACAUCGUCAGAUUUGAUUCCCAUGUUUCCGGCUACUUAAUGCUGCUAGGACAACUGAUUGAUGCUGUGUGCACUCCAGGGAUCGGUUAUAUUUCCGACACUUACAAAUUGAUUUUCUUUUCAAGAUUUGGAAAAAGGAAAUCUUGGUAUUGCCUUGGAACUUUUAUUACUGUGGUGUCAUUGCCUUUGCUUUAUUCAGAAUGUCCUGGUUGCUCAACGGCAAAUAUGUUUUUCCAGUUCUUUUAUUACUGUUUGAUCAUAAUUUUAUUCCAAAUGGGCUGGGCUGCAGUGGCCACGGUCCAUCUGGCCCUCGUCACCGAGCUCACUUAUUCGGCGAAAGAACGGACGCUGUUGUUAGCGUUAAGAAACAUAUUUACUACUUUUUCAAAUUUGACCGUCCACAUCGUGACCCUUGUCGUACUUCGUGUUGGAAGUCAAAUGUCAAAUGAGGGAUUAUUUUCAAAAAAUGACAUUUGGAAGUUCCAAUCAGUAGUUAUUGCCGUUAUGAUCUCAGGGUGCAUAACGUCUCUCAUAUUUUCUUUGACCGUACCGGAAGCGUUGAUAAUCCAACACUAUUCGUCGUUCACCGCUGAGAAGAAGAGAAUUGUAGACGUACUCAGCCAAUGGGAGCUCUACCGAACAGGUCUCUUCUACAUGUGCACUAGGGUGUACUGCAGCAUCAUGCAGUCGAUGUUGCCGCUGUACAUCCACGAUUCACUUCACAUCAACGUCACCAACGUGGCUUUGGUCCCGCUGACGUUGUACACCGCGUCCUUCUUCGCCUCCCUGAUGACGGGGCCGUUAAACGAGAGAUUCGAUAACGUUUUCGUUCGGCGCCAUCCUUGCUGCAGUAGCAUCGGGUUGGAUCCUAUUCCACUCGGACAACGACCAAUUCAAACAUGUUCAAAUAUACUUCGUAGGCAUUUUGUACGGUUCAGCAAAUUCUGUGAUGUUGGUAACGGCGUUAGUGGCCACAACGGACCUUGUCGGCUUUGACACAGAGAACAGCGCGUUCGUUUACGGAAUAAUGACAUUCCUGGAUAAAUCGUCAUGUGGCAUACUGAUCUGUCUUAUCCAAGUAUUCAAGCCUGAAGGAUAUGGGAAAUACUACGAAUACGCUUUGUCCCUUUCGUGCGGGAUCUCCGCCUUCAUAGCAGCUGUGAUCGUGAUAUCGUUCCCGAUGGAAGUAUAUUCAGUUAAUGUUCCAGACCAGAAACCAA
rnacentral:misc_RNA from 1 species